CAGGCCCCUCGGCCCAGGGCGGAGACCAGCUCCCAUCAGCCCCUGCUCCUCCUUCCUCCCUCAGCAGGUGCCCCCCUCCCUCGGGGACUCGCCUGCCUCCCCCAGUCCCCGUUCCAGCAGGAAGUCCAUGGCAGUCCCCAGGGCUGGGCCCGAGUGCCCUCAGCCAGCGCUGUGGCCGGCUGACUCCUCCCCACACAGGGAGUCCAGGCCUGGCCCGGGCUGGAGUCAGCACUGCACUCAGCCUGUCCGUGUUUGCUAACCCGGCGAGAGACCUUCGAGGAAAACGAAUGCCCUGGCUCUCGCUGCCCUCCGAGAGUGCCCCAUCCUGUCAGCGGGCCACACCACACAAGGGCCCUUUCAGGUUCCCAAGGGUGACUUCCUCAGCCUUGGCAGGUGCUGGCCGGCAGGAUGCUGAACUGACAGCGUGGCGCUGGGUGUGGAGGGCCCACCUGAGGAUUGUCGCCAACAGCAUAAAAGGAGAACCGGAGGGGAAGAUGGUGCGCUGCUGAGUCUCCUGGAGAAGCUUGUCACGCUGGUUUUCCUGAUAUGAGCUUGGUUGUUCUCACCAUCGGAGGAGCUCGGGUCCUCACUGUUGCGGAGG
rnacentral:lncRNA from 1 species